rnacentral:rRNA from 1 species
GACGGGGCGGGUGCUUACCAUGCAAGUCGAACGGACAGGUAAUGAAACCUAGUGAUUUAUCUGUUAGUGGCGGACGGGUGAGUAACGCGUGGGUAACCUGCCGUAUACAGGGGGAUAACACUUAGAAAUAGGUGCUAAAACCGCAUAAGCGCACAGGAUCGCAUGGUCUGGUGUGAAAAACUCCGGUGGUAUACGAUGGACCCGCGUCUGAUUAGCUUGUUGGCGGGGUAGAGGCCCACCAAGGCGACGAUCAGUAGCCGGCCUGAGAGGGUGAACGGCCACAUUGGGACUGAGACACGGCCCAAACUCCUACGGGAGGCAGCAGUGGGGAAUAUUGCACAAUGGGGGAAACCCUGAUGCAGCGACGCCGCGUGAGUGAAGAAGUAUUUCGGUAUGUAAAGCUCUAUCAGCAGGAAAGAAAAUGACGGUACCUGACUAAGAAGCCCCGGCUAACUACGUGCCAGCAGCCGCGGUAAUACGUAGGGGGCAAGCGUUAUCCGGAUUUACUGGGUGUAAAGGGAGCGUAGACGGUGAAGCAAGUCUGAAGUGAAAGGCGGGGGCUCAACCCCCGGACUGCUUUGGAAACUGUUUGACUGGAGUGCAGGAGAGGUAAGUGGAAUUCCUAGUGUAGCGGUGAAAUGCGUAGAUAUUAGGAGGAACACCAGUGGCGAAGGCGGCUUACUGGACUGUAAC